rnacentral:rRNA from 1 species
AUUGAACGCUGGCGGCAGGCCUAACACAUGCAAGUCGAGCGGUAACACAGGGAGCUUGCUCCUGGGUGACGAGCGGCGGACGGGUGAGUAAUGUCUGGGAAACUGCCUGAUGGAGGGGGAUAACUACUGGAAACGGUAGCUAAUACCGCAUAAUGUCGCACGACCAAAGCGGGGGACCUUCGGGCCUCUUGCCCUCAGACGUGACCAGAUGGGAUUAGCUAGUAGGUGGGGUAACGGCUCACCUAGGCGACGAUCCCUAGCUGGUCUGAGAGGAUGACCAGCCACACUGGAACUGAGACACGGUCCAGACUCCUACGGGAGGCAGCAGUGGGGAAUAUUGCACAAUGGGCGCAAGCCUGAUGCAGCCAUGCCGCGUGUAUGAAGAAGGCCUUCGGGUUGUAAAGUACUUUCAGCGGGGAGGAAGGCGAUAAGGUUAAUAACCUUGUCGAUUGACGUUACCCGCAGAAGAAGCACCGGCUAACUCCGUGCCAGCCGCCGCGGUAA